rnacentral:rRNA from 1 species
AAACACNUCUCGGCAACGGAUAUCUCGGCUCACGCAUCGAUGAAGAACGCAGCAAAAUGCGAUACUUGGUGUGAAUUGCAGAAUCCCGUGAACCAUCGAGUUUUUGAACGCAAGUUGCGCCCGAAGCCAUCCGGUCGAGGGCACGCCUGCCUGGGCGUCACGC